AUGGGAGCUGGAGCACGGCGACCAGGUGCUUCGGCGAUGAGGCUACCAGCAACUAUACCGCGCGCGGUUUAUCAUGGCCCUGCCGUCGUGUGCCGCGGCACGGCACACUGGCUCUUUUACGAUGGGAUGAUGCUAGACUUAUGCAUUGUUGGUAUGGAAGCUAAGACGGGCCACGUCACCUUGACAAGGAUCCCCUUUGAGAUGGACGACAUGAGAUGUCGCCCGUGCCUUACCCUCUCCACCGGUGGGACACUUUCGCUAAUCUAUGUCGACAGGGAAGGGCCCCAGGUAGUGAUCUGGGAAAUUUUGGACGAGACUACAAAUUGCCUCUGCACUCGGAGUAUCAAGUUAGAUGAACCAGGCAAGAAGCUUACUCAAAGCAUAUCAAGCUUGCACAUGUUAGGAGAAAAGUACGGGACGAUGAUUGCCCAGGGCAGUAGUUUGCGCGUGUAUGUUGUCGACCUUGAAACUGAGACGGUGGAGGAGCUGAUAGAUUGGCCUACACGUCAUGCUAACCGUGUGGAUGUCGUGCCACUGCAAAUGAGUUGGUUGACAUUCUUCCUUUCUCGGCUUGGUAGUUGGUAG
rnacentral:rRNA from 1 species